GAUGAAGAACGCAGCGAAAUGCGAUAAGUAAUGUGAAUUGCAGAAUUCAGUGAAUCAUCGAAUCUUUGAACGCAUCUUGCGCUCCUUGGUAUUCUGAGGAGCAUGCCUGUUUGAGUGUCAUUAAAUUCUCAACUACACUGACUUUGAAUUGGUGUGGCUUGGAUUUGGGGGGAAAAUUGUUGUGGGCUUUUUGUAUAGUCUGCUCCCCUGAAAUUGAUUAGCGGUACCUUUGUGGAACUGUCUACAGGUGUGAUAAUUAUCUACAUCUUAGACAUCUGCUGGAAUGCUGCUUUCUAAACCUGACUUGUAUUGACAAUCUUGACCUCAAAUCAGGUAGGACUACCCGCUGAACUUAAGCAUAUCAAUAAGCGGAGGA
rnacentral:misc_RNA from 1 species